rnacentral:lncRNA from 1 species
AAUUCCUGUCAGUCCUUUGGUUCCGGAAACAGCCUGUUUUCCCGGACCGCGAGAGCACUGCUCUGAUAGGAUUAUUUCAAUACUUGUACUUAUUAAGGUUCCCAGAUGUCACAUUGAAGAUCUGAACAAGAGAAGGCUUGGACUGGUGUAUUACAACCAGCGAGUGAGGAUUCAUCAACCUUUUUCAUCUCACGCAUCAACUGUGACCCUUAAGAGACCAACAGUGUUCUUUGUAAGAACUGGAACAACUGUCCGGGUUGAUUACAGUAGAGGUAAGUAUGGUCUCCCUAAUUCUUGCAUUUAAGUUUGAUGUUCUCUGCUCUUUGCUAUUUCCUCUUCUAAAGCACUAAACUGAGGAAGCUGCACUU